GACGAACGCUGGCGGCGUGCUUAACACAUGCAAGUCGAACGGAAAGGCCCUGCUUUUGUGGGGUGCUCGAGUGGCGAACGGGUGAGUAACACGUGAGUAACCUGCCCUUGACUUUGGGAUAACUUCAGGAAACUGGGGCUAAUACCGGAUAGGAGCUCCUGCUGCAUGGUGGGGGUUGGAAAGUUUCGGCGGUUGGGGAUGGACUCGCGGCUUAUCAGCUUGUUGGUGGGGUAGUGGCUUACCAAGGCUUUGACGGGUAGCCGGCCUGAGAGGGUGACCGGCCACAAUGGGACUGAGGUACGGCCCAGACUCCUACGGGGGGCAACAGUGGGGAAUAUUGCACAAUGGGCGGAAGCCUGAUGCAGCAACGCCGCGUGCGGGAUGACGGCCUUCGGGUUGUAAACCGCUUUCGCCUGUGACGAAGCGUGAGUGACGGUAAUGGGUAAAGAAGCACCGGCUAACUACGUG
rnacentral:rRNA from 1 species